GUCUGGUAUUUUUGAUGGUCUAAAAUCCCCGAUUCUUCAAAAACAAUCAUAAAGAUUCCAAAAGACUCAACUAGAUGCCAUGCUUGCCUGUCUCCAUGCACUAAUGAGAGGAUCUCCUAAGGUUCCCGACGUUCUUCCUGCCCUGCCUGGUUCAAGGCCACCUGAAAACUAUACACCGAGCCCAGGCAGAAGCACCUGGAUUUCCACUGAGGUCUCCAAGAUGGUCAAUGGCGAACAUUUUCUACACUUUAAUGGCAGCAUAACAAAGAAGACGUCUAAGGAAUUUUACUCAUCAGUAUGGAGUAAUGGGCAGGCAUAUUGAAAUGGUCUCUGGAGUAAUGGGCAGGUAUAUUGAAAUGGUC
rnacentral:lncRNA from 1 species